rnacentral:rRNA from 1 species
UACGUAGGGGGCAAGCGUUGUCCGGAAUUAUUGGGCGUAAAGAGCGUGUAGGCGGCCAGAUAAGUCCGCUGUGAAAUCUCGAGGCUCAACUUCGAGCUGUCGGUGGAAACUGUCUGGCUAGAGUCCGGAAGAGGAGAAUGGAAUUCCUGGUGUAGCGGUGAAAUGCGCAGAUAUCAGGAAGAACACCCGUGGCGAAGGCGGUUCUCUGGGCCGAUACUGACGCUGAGGAGCGAAAGCGUGGGGAGCGAACAGG